GGGUAGGUGGCUGAGUGGUUGAAAGCACCGGUCUUGAAAACCGACGAGGGUCAAACCUCCGUGGGUUCGAAUCCCACCCUGCCCGCCA
rnacentral:tRNA from 1 species